AUUGAACGCUGGCGGAAUGCUUUACACAUGCAAGUCGAACGGCAGCACGGGUGCUUGCACCUGGUGGCGAGUGGCGAACGGGUGAGUAAUGCACCGGAACGUAUCCAAUAAUGGGGGAUAACGCACCGAAAGGUGUGCUAAUACCGCAUACGCCCUGAGGGGGGAAAGCGGGGGAUCGUAAGACCUCGCGUUAAUGGAGCGGCCGAUGCCGGAUUAGCUAGUUGGUGAGGUAAAGGCUCACCAAGGCGACGAUCCGUAGCUGGUCUGAGAGGACGACCAGCCACACUGGAACUGAGACACGGUCCAGACUCCUACGGGAGGCAGCAGUGGGGAAUUUUGGACAAUGGGCGCAAGCCUGAUCCAGCCAUUCCGCGUGAGUGAAGAAGGCCUUCGGUUGUAAGUACGUCUUUCGUCAAGGAAAGGAAAACUUAAUACUCCUAACUAC
rnacentral:rRNA from 1 species